ACGAACGCUGGCGGCGUGCUUAACACAUGCAAGUCGAACGGAAAGGCCCUGCUUGCCGGGUACUCGAGUGGCGAACGGGUGAGUAACACGUGGGUGAUCUGCCCUGCACUUCGGGAUAAGCCUGGGAAACUGGGUCUAAUACCGGAUAGGAGCCAUUUUUAGUGUGAUGGUUGGAAAGUUUUUUUCGGUGUAGGAUGAGCUCGCGGCCUAUCAGCUUGUUGGUGGGGUAAUGGCCUACCAAGGCGGCGACGGGUAGCCGGCCUGAGAGGGUGGACGGCCACAUUGGGACUGAGAUACGGCCCAGACUCCUACGGGAGGCAGCAGUGGGGAAUAUUGCACAAUGGGCGCAAGCCUGAUGCAGCGACGCCGCGUGGGGGAUGACGGCCUUCGGGUUGUAAACUCCUUUCGCUAGGGACGAAGCUUUUUGUGACGGUACCUAGAUAAGAAGCACCGGCUAACUACGUG
rnacentral:rRNA from 1 species